rnacentral:tRNA from 2 species
GCGGGUGUAGUUUAGUGGUAAAACCUCAGCCUUCCAAGCUGAUGUCGAGGGUUCGACUCCCUUCACCCGCUCCA